rnacentral:tRNA from 1 species
GGGGUAUAGCUCAGUUGGUUAGAGCGCUUGCAUGGCAUGCAAGAGGUCCUGGGUUCGAAUCCCACUACCUCC